CCAUUAAACCUCAGAAGUAGAGGAGACCAAAUGGUUUUCCCGAAACUUCUAUCUUUCUUUAGGUCGAGGACCAUCGUGCGAGCAGGAGCUGUUUCAUCUUCUCUUUUAAGCAUUUUGGCCAUGAGUUUGGUGCCAUCUUAUUCCAUCACAGCUGCUUCAAGAAGGAAGGAGAAGCCGCUACUUUGCUGAGGUGUUGAUCAAGAAAUGUUCAUUUUGAGUAAGACAGUAGUGAAUAUUGCAUACAGGACUGCCAUUUAGCAUUUUUAAUUUGUCGGUUCAAAUAUUGAGGAAUGUUAUAUUCAAGGUUUUGACGUAUGAACACUGUUUUGGAUGAAAUAUUCAGCUAAAUAAAGAGGAUUUUCUUUUAAAGAAAGCAA